rnacentral:rRNA from 1 species
AACGCGUUAAGUCGACCGCCUGGGGAGUACGGCCGCAAGGUUAAAACUCAAAUGAAUUGACGGGGGCCCGCACAAGCGGUGGAGCAUGUGGUUUAAUUCGAUGCAACGCGAAGAACCUUACCUGGUCUUGACAUCCACGGAAGUUUUCAGAGAUGAGAAUGUGCCUUCGGGAACCGUGAGACAGGUGCUGCAUGGCUGUCGUCAGCUCGUGUUGUGAAAUGUUGGGUUAAGUCCCGCAACGAGCGCAACCCUUAUCCUUUGUUGCCAGCGGUCCGGCCGGGAACUCAAAGGAGACUGCCAGUGAUAAACUGGA